GCUCCAGUGGCGCCAACGGUCAGCGCGCGAUACUUAUAAUGCCGAGGUUGUGAGUUCGAGUCUCACCUGGAGCA